UACAGAGGGUGCAAGCGUUAUUCGGAAUUAUUGGGCAUAAAGCGCAUGUAGGUGGUUUGAUAAGUCUGAUGUGAAAGCCCCGGACUCAAUUCGGGAAGUGCAUUGGAUACUGUCAGGCUAGAGUAUGGGAGAGGUGAGCGGAAUUCCAGGUGUAGAGGUGAAAUUCGUAGAUAUCUGGAGGAACAACAGAGGCGAAGGCGGCUCACUGGACCAUUGCUGACACUGAGAUGCGAAAGCGUGGGGAGCAAACAGG
rnacentral:rRNA from 1 species